CACGUAGGUGGCAAGCGUUAUCCGGAAUUACUGGGCGUAAAGGGUCCGCAGGCGGUAGGGUCAGUCUGUGGUGACAGCCCCUGGCUUAACUGGGGGAGGCCCAUGGAUACUGCCCUUCUUGAGUCACGGAGAGGGAAGCGGAAUUCCCGGUGUAGUGGUGAAAUGCGUAGAUAUCGGGAGGAACACCAGUGGCGAAGGCGGCUUCCUGGCCUGUUCUUGACGCUGAGGCGCGAAAGCUAGGGGAGCGAACAGG
rnacentral:rRNA from 1 species